rnacentral:rRNA from 1 species
UGAGGAAUUUUGGACAAUGGGGGAAACCCUGAUCCAGCGAUGUCGCGUGUAUGAUGAAGGCCAUUCGGUUGUAAAGUACUUUCGUCGGUGAAGAUAAUGACGGUAACCGAAAAAGAAGCUCCGGCUAACUUCGUGCCAGCAGCCGCGGUAAUACGAAGGGAGCAAGCGUUGCUCGGAAUAAUUGGGCGUAAAGGGUGCGUAGGCGGUUUUUUAAGUCAGAUGUUAAAGACUGGGACUCAAUCUCAGGAAUGCAUUUGAUACUGGAAAACUUGAGUGUGGGAGAGGAAACAGGAAUUCCUCAUGUAGAGGUGAAAUUCGUAGAUAUGAGGAGGAACACCAGAGGCGAAGGCGAGUUUCUGGAACACCACUGACGCUGAGGCACGAAAGCGUGGGUAGCAAACAGG